UCGAGCGGCCUGGGAAGCUAACGGACACUGAAUGGGAAAGGACGAGAGAAGUCCAUUCUAAAAAUUACACUUGGGCACUCAGAGCAGAGCUUCCAAGAGGAGGGAAGGUGAUAGCAUCCUCUUUACCUUCAUCUCAUCGUAUAGAGAGAGAUGUUCUAUAAAUUGCCAACUGGAGUGGAAGUGGUCUCUGCAAUCAUGAAAGGGAGGAGAGGUAAUUCAUGAGACAUUCCCUGCAGAAGUGUGUCACCAUCUCCCUGUGAAAGCUCGACACACCAGACAGCUACUGCUCCAUGAAGAACCAGUUCGGUGUGGGGAAAUCCACAGUCGGCCGUGCUCAUGCAGGUAAUCAAGACCAUCAACACCAUAUUGCUGCAGAGGGUUGUCGCCCUGGGGAAUGUUUGUAGGGAUAACAUAUUAAAGUACUUAAAAUGAUUCCCCCAAGUGGAAGUGACUCCCCAUAAUUUGUUCCCCACAACUUAAAAGUCUAAGUAGCAUAAGUUUGUUAAGUAGAAGAAGCAUAUAAGUGUUUAGAUUUAGUGUUAUCAAGCUUGAUAAGUGUUUAGAUUUA